rnacentral:rRNA from 1 species
GAUGAACGCUGGCGGCGUGCCUAAUACAUGCAAGUCGAGCGAACGGACGAGAAGCUUGCUUCUCUGAUGUUAGCGGCGGACGGGUGAGUGACACGUGGAUAACCUACCUAUAAGACUGGGAUAACUUCGGGAAACCGUAGCUAAUACCGGAUAAUAUUUUGAACCGCAUGGUUCAAAAGUGAAAGGCGGUCUUGCUGUCACUUAUAGAUGGAUCCGCGCUGCAUUAGCUAGUUGGUAAGGUAACGGCUUACCAAGGCAACGAUGCAUAGCCGACCUGAGAGGGUGAUCGGCCACACUGGAACUGAGACACGGUCCAGACUCCUACGGGAGGCAGCAGUAGGGAAUCUUCCGCAAUGGGCGAAAGCCUGACGGAGCAACGCCGCGUGAGUGAUGAAGGUCUUCGGAUCGUAAAACUCUGUUAUUAGGGAAGAACAUAUGUGUAAGUAACUGUGCACAUCUUGACGGUACCUAAUCAGAAAGCCACGGCUAACUACGUG